UGGUAUUUCUGGUCUCCUUUCCCUACUUCUCCCAGAGUUUUUACCAUGUUAAAAUGUAACCCUGUUCUUCCAGUUUCCCACUACAGACAUGUAUGUUUCCACAUCCAAUUCAUCAGAAAUCUCAUUGUGAACAACAGUAAAUAUCCAGCCCCAUGGCUCUACCAUUCCGGUUGAAGUCAUCAUCAUCUCUCAUGAGGAUGAUGGAAUAGCCUUCUCACUGAUGUGUCUCUUUCUGCCCUUGGCCCUAUGCACAGAAGGCAGAGUAAUUCUAUAAAAAAUCAAAUUCACUCAUGUUAUUCAUCUACUCAAAACUCUUCACUGCCUUUCAUUCUUAUUCAGCACAAAAGCCAAAAGUUUCACUCUUACUAAUGUGGCCUUUCCUUAUCUGGCUUUUGAUUCCUUGCUGGCCUCAUUUCCUACUGCUCUCUCUCGCUCACUCUGGCCAGGGUCUUCCUGGAACACACAAGUAUUCUCCUGUCUCAGGACCAUUGCACUUGCUGCUUAUUCUGUCUGGGAUACUCUUUGACGUAUCCGUUUGCCUCACUCUCUCAGCUACCUGAGGUUUUUACUCAAAUAUUUCCUUCUUAGUAAGAUCUUCUUUUCUCACCCUAUAUAAAAGUUCAGUUUCCCUCUUCUGACCCUCACUUUCACUCUAUUUAUCUACAAAGUAUUUGGCACUUUCUAAAAUAUUAUCCAUAGCUCUAUUUUCUUUUGUAAGCUCCACAAAGACAGAUAUUUUUGUUUGUUUGUUUCUCUUGUUCUCUGUUGUAUCCCCAACACUUAGAACAAUCAAUGGCAUAGAGUAACACUCAAUAAAUAUUCAUUAAAUACAUAGAGAAUUAACUGAGAAGGAAUUCUGGAAUGCUAAAGAAAAAACAAGUGAGAAAACCACAACAGAAAUAAAUAUGAAGGACAAGGAGGGGAAGUCUGCUCUAAAGGUGCAAAAGUUCACAAAGGAAAAAAAAAAAAAAAACUGAAGCAACUGCAACAUGGGCAAAAGAGACAUAAUUUUAAAAGAUCCUCAUAGGAAAUUAGAUUAGAAAGUAAUGACAGAAGUGCUCUUGCUUCUUUGAUGAAAUCAGUGAAAAAAGACGUAUUCCAGCAGUAUUGAUGUACCAGGAUAAAGGAAAUUUUGACAAGCACUCUCAGUUAAGGAAAAAAGGAAAGAAACAAACAAAACAGGCUACUAACAAAAAGCACAAAUAAGUCUGACGCAGACUUCUUCACUAUCAAAAGCCAGAAUGAAGAGGAGUGACAGCUCAUGAGUUUGAAGAGAAGAAGGUUGUGACCCAAAAAUCUUUACACAUAUCCCAGUUAUUUUUCAUGCAUGUGACAAUAGAAAUAUAUUCACAGCUCUCCAACAGCUUAGAGACGUGCUGCCCAUGGAUCCUUGUUGGAAAAAAUAAUUAUAUGAAGAGAUGACUAUAAAGUAAAUUCGAAUUUUAAAAUAUGAAGACUCGACACAUAACAACAUAAACCUACCAAUAUCUUUUGUCUUUAUCAUCAAGGUAACAAUGCCGAAGAAUGAAUACAGUCAAGCAGAAAGAGCAAAAGAUAGAACAUCUGGGUGCGAAUCCCAGCUCAUUCACUAAUUAAUGUUGUGACUUUGGACCAACCACUCAAGCUCUCUGAGUCUUAAUUUUUUAAUUUAUUAAGUUAAGAAAGCAAUCCUUAACUCUCACAAGUUGAACAGAUAAAAUUAGAUAAUGCAUAUAUGAGGGAUUUGUAAAUUACAGUAAAAAUGUCAGUACUUACUAUUAUUCCCUAAUGGCUUAUGCAUUUUUCAAUUAAAUCCUGACAGUGGCUUCCACUUUUCAAGAGAUGGGCAUGUCUAUGAACAGGAGAAUUGUCGUGGAGCAGUGAAGAUAACUCAGUGUAUGCAGAAAACAUACAUCUUUUUAUUGUAGGUCUCAAUGACCACAUUCCAGAUCUCUCUGCAACACAAUGACUAGCAUCACUUAUUUCUACAGAAUGCUUAAGAAUUGGAUCUUACCCUUAAGCCUUUGUGAACUCCUGCAUUAACCAGUCAGCAUCAAGACUACCAUAAAGAUUCCUCCGAAUAUCAAUUGAUAUACAUGCUCCAUGUCUCUACAACUCCAUAAUUAGGGACAACACCGGUUUCCUGAAUGCCUGUGUCAGCUUUUUGGUGACAAGAAAGGAUGAAUAAGACACGAGUAUGGUUUAAAGUGCAGCGAGAGACAGAAUAGUAAAUUUACAAAGGCAGAAAUGAAAAGCAGAAAGCGAAGACGAUAUAGGAAUUUACCAGCUAGACAGAAGAGACAGGGAAAGAAACUGGCAUUGAACAUACUGAAUGUCAUCACGAAGGAGGUUUGAGAUACUGCUUUUUCCUCCCUGUGAAGUCCUGAGUCCGUGGAAAGGCCGAGGGGAGAACCAUCGGCAGCAACAUGGCAGCUCUAUUAGUGAUGGAAACUGGAUUGGGAAAUGCAAUAUCACAUCUGUCACCUAGAGGUUUUACCAACAAUAUUUCGGCCUAGAAUUCAAUGUACUGUGCCUACCCCACUCUGGCCGAGUGGGACAGUUGAAGCUUCCCGGAAAGGAAGAAGCUAUGGUUGCCCAGUGGAAAGCAGAUCACAGUGGAUACUUCCUGCAGUCAGUCAAGCUUCUGGAGGUAGAGGAUCAGGGAGGAGCUAAGAAAAGCAGCAGUCAAGAUGAACUAAGCCCCUUAUCCCCAGCCCACAAGUAAAAUGCUCAGUCUUUUUUCCAUGGGAAUGAAGUCAGGGAUACAGAAAUAAACCAUAUAUGUUUCUCUCAGUGGUGUCUGUAGAAAAAGAAAGUCAAAGAGAGAUGAGGGUUCUCCCUUAAAAUCUGAGAUAACACAGUGGGAGGCCCUAACCUAACCUGGAUUUUGGGAUUAAAGAAAGUUUCACCAAGGUAAA